GAUUACGGAUCCAACGUCGGAGGUGCCGGAACAUGUUCCGGCGUGUUCCGGCGUGUUCCGGCUCAAAUUAAGCCCUGCCCGCCACCAUAAACCAUUUAAUACUGGACUGCAUCUUCCACCCCAAAUGGCGAUCCCGAUAAGAUGGAGGCCAAGUGGCAGAGCAUGCUGAACCAUGUUCAGGAUAUACAUGAACACAGCUACCCUUCAUUUCCGCAAUGUACACACCCACCUCUGGAAGGAGAGGGAAGAAACAAGCAGUGGCUUGAACCAGGAUCAACAGCUGCGAUGAAGUUGGAAAGUGUUGCUUCCAGAAUGCCCUGCUGAAGGAUAUUCAACGGCUCUCACAGGAACACCAAACAUUUUCCUUGGAGGCAUUCCAUUCUUUAAUCCUGCACUUUGCGCCAAAGCACACCGGCUACUCUUUUCUUGGAAUGUACAGCAGACUUCUCUUAGCGUCCUUCCACUUCCACAGACGUAGCCCAAACAAAUAAUGGUGAGGCACGCUAUGCAGUUCGUUACCCCCGGUUUCGUAAGGGUGGCUGGGUCAUUCCACCCAUAAAAGAGAAACCAUCAUACGAAUAUGCAUCGACCCUGAUGAUCUCACUGAAAGAGGGAUACAUAAGGUCACCACAGGCUCUCAAAGAAGACAGCACCAUCCUGUCCUCAGCUGCACCUGCCCCUCUUUCCACGCAUCACAAGAUCGUCAAGGAUGAGGCAGUCGGUCACCAUCUUGAACGUCAUUCACGUUUUAAGUCCUAGUUACUACCAAUGAAAUUAUAAAUACAUUUUAUACAACACACUUUGUGUGAUUGUGUGUUCAUUUUGUAAAAAAAAAUAUUUUUAUUGAUUGCCUCCCAUAUGGGGCCAUUGGAAGCCUCUGUAUGUCCCUCCUUCCUCUGAAAACUGCCUCCUAAUUGCGGCCACAACACAAGCAGGUAUCGCCUUCCUGAUCUCCCUGCCCAGAAACUGUGUGUGUAUCGGAAUUGCCUAGAGUAAUGAUAGGGGUGCAAUCUUGAUAUUGAUAAUCCUGUUAACAUAGUCAAUACGAUCAAGAGUGAUAGAAGUAUUUGAUGUAACAUUUUCUGUUAUUCUAUUCCAUAAAAGGUAUGUAUGCACAUCGGAGUUUAAAAAUCUGCUAAACCCUCAGCAUCAAUAAUGCACAUAAUUUUGACACAAAGUUUAUGUUAUUUGUGUAGAAAACUGACGACUAUAAUAGAAGUGUAUAAUAAUAUAAUAGUGUUAUAAAUUAGUCUUGUCUAAACAUACUCUGGUAUGUUGGCUUGGAGAGGGCUAUGCUCCUGCCUGAAGUUGAGGUAUGCUACCUGCAGCGAGAAUGGGUUGAGGCAGCAGGCAUCAAAGCCGGGAUGGAGCGU